rnacentral:misc_RNA from 1 species
GUCCGCCACCACCACCAUAUGAUGUUCCUCCAUAUCCACCAUACAUUCCAGAACCAUAGCUUGAAUUAUAACCUAAAUUCGAUCCAUAUCCUCCAUAAGUAUUGCUGUUACCAUAGUUUUGUGAUUCCCAGGGCCUGGAUGGUAAAGGCCUCCCGAGAGUGUUCGUGUUUGCAGCCGGAUUCCUGUUUGCAGUUGUGACAACUUCUCCAGGCUUUGCAGUCCCCGAUGCUUCAACUACGGCACUUGUAUUGCCAGAAGACGGAGGUUUGAAUGGUACAGGACCAGACGAGCUCCCAGC